rnacentral:rRNA from 1 species
CCUACGGGUGGCAGCAGUGAGGAAUAUUGGUCAAUGGCCGGAAGGCUGAACCAGCCAUGCCGCGUGAAGGUCAGUGCCCUAUGGGCGUUAAACUUCUUUUGUGCGGGAGCAAUAAUGGUCACGUGUGGCCAGACGAGAGUACCGUACGAAUAAGCAUCGGCUAACUCCGUGCCAGCAGCCGCGGUAAUACGGGGGAUGCAAGCGUUAUCCGGAUUUAUUGGGUUUAAAGGGUGCGUAGGCUGUGAGGUAAGUCAGCGGUGAAAUGCCCCCGCUCAACGGGGUGAAGUGCCAUUGAUACUGCCUGGCUGGAAUGCGGAUGCCGUGGGAGGAAUGUGUGGUGUAGUGGUGAAAUGCAUAGAUAUCACACAGAACACCGAUUGCGAAGGCAUCUCACGAAUCCGCGAUUGACGCUGAUGCACGAAAGCGUGGGUAUCAAACAGGAUUAGAUACCCUAGUAGUC